AGUAAGUUUGAUCAUGGCUCAGAACGUACGCUGGCGGCACGCCUUAUACAUGCAAGUCGAACGAAGUAGCAAUACUUAGUGGCAGACGGGUGAGUAACAUGUAGGUAUCUUCCCUUUGGUGAGGAAUAACACGAGGAAACUUGUGCUAAUACCUCAUAAGUCCUUACGGAGAAAGCUUUAUGCGCCGAAGGAUGAGCCUGCACUUGAUUAGUUUGUUGGUGGGGUAAUGGCCUACCAAGACUUUGAUCUAUAGCUGAUCUGAGAGGAUGAUCAGCCACAUUGGGACUGAGACACGGCCCAAACUCCUACGGGAGGCAGCAGUAGGGAAUAUUGCACAAUGGAGGAAACUCUGAUGCAGCGAUGCCGCGUGAGUGAAGAAGGCCUUUGGGUUGUAAAGCUCUUUCGUCGGGGAAGAAAAUGACUGUACCCGAAUAAGAAGGUCCGGCUAACUUCGUGCCAGCAGCCGCGGUAAUACGAAGGGACCUAGCGUAGUUCGGAAUUACUGGGCUUAAAGAGCUCGUAGGUGGUUGAAAAAGUUGAUGGUGAAAUCCCAAGGCUCAACCUUGGAACUGCCAUCAAAACUUUUUAGCUAGAGUGUGAUAGAGGUAAGUGGAAUUUCUAGUGUAGAGGUGAAAUUCGUAGAUAUUAGAAAGAACACCAAAUGCGAAGGCAACUUACUGGGUCACUACUGACACUGAGGAGCGAAAGCAUGGGUAGCGAAGAGGAUUAGAUACCCUCGUAGUCCAUGCCGUAAACGAUGAGUGCUAGACGUUGGAAAUAUAUUUUUCAGUGUCGCAGCGAAAGCAUUAAGCACUCCGCCUGGGGAGUACGACCGCAAGGUUAAAACUCAAAUGAAUUGACGGGGACCCGCACAAGCAGUGAGCAUGUGG
rnacentral:rRNA from 1 species